AUUUCACUUCCCAGCACCCUGGGAAGGAGGCUCACAGCCACCUGUAACUCUAGCUCCAGGAGAGCCAGUGCCCUCAUCUAGCCUCUGUAGGUACCUGCCCACAUGUGCAUGUACCCACACAUACACACUCAACUAAAGAAAUAACUUUAAUAAAAAGAAGUAAAUCAUCAUAGCAAGUUAUAGGAUAAGAUGAACCACAUUAUCCAAGAGGACUCUCUAAGAGGAUCAAAAUGUUCUGAAUCUGCAUUGUCCAAUACAAUAAGGACUGACCAUGUGGGACUACUGAGCAUGAAAUACAGAAUGCUCCCGAAGAACUGGCUACUUUAUUUAACUUAUCUAGUAGGUAGUAUGUAGUUUGUAUCUCUGCAUGUGGUAUCUCAGCUAGUAGCCACCGUGAGAGGGCAGGGUUGGAUACUUCUGUUUGAGAAGUUCUGUCAUUAUGAAGGUGAACGCCUGCUUUGGGAGACUGACUUUUCUCCUAAUUAUUCUUCACUGUAGCUUAUGAUAAGCAUGCGAUAUAAACCACCUACUCACUGUAGUUUCUUUAGGAAAUAAUUACUGUCACCAUGACUCACAGUGGAAGCUAGUGAGCUAGAGAGAGGACUCCACUGGCUUCUUGCUGCUUCCGUCCUCUGGGAAAAUAGGCUGAAGAUUUACCAAGUCAAUGAAAACAAGGUCACGGUGGUGAGAGAUGAAACAGAAACCAUGAAACAAACACCUACCCAACAAAGACAAAACCAGAUAUGAGGACCUACAACUAUGAACUUCCCAAUUCCAGAUGCUUGGAUGCCAGCAUCAAUGCACGGUAGAAGAAUAAAGCAAUACUGGUGACUCUCACUUGAGAAUCUUUGACUAUGAACCCCCCCCCUCCGCUUCACACACACACACUUGGAUUUAUGAUUCUCAGAGUUGCUGCAGCAUCCAGGAAGCCCCAAACAUUUCAAGGGCACCAGGCUUUCCGUACUGUCUACAGGAAUACGUUUCUCCGAGACUAUCUGGGAGAAGCUACAGCUCCUUCAAGUCAGUUGGAGAGGGGCUUCCUCCACAAAGCAGAGUAAAAACGGUGAGGAAUGAGCCAUGUCUGCCUUUGAAUGCAGUCCACGUUCCACGGCCUCCUGAGAAGUUUGAGCCUGUGAAGUAUGUGCCGUUUCUGCAUGGCUUAUGAAGCCACUUCUUGAAAAGCCUUUGAAAUACGCACAAACAUUUCAACACCGGGAUUGGAUCCAGGGCCUCCUGAAGGCCAGGAAAGUGUCCUUCCACUGAAUUCCAGAACCAGCUUCAUUACUUUUAUUUUGGAGAUCCCACUAACUUGCCCCAGUAGGCUACCAACUUGCAAAUCUCCCACCCCUACUGCCCAAGAAACUUAAAAUAGAGAUGUGAGCCACCAUACACAGCUAACAUUUACUUUUAAAUGUCUUCAGAGUUGUAUUAUGUGGAGAUUUUCUUUUUAAAGCAAUUGAAAGCCUGCUGAACCUCAUCAGUCCAUUUAGUAAAGAAGCUGCCGUCAUCCUGUGAAACUGCGAAUGCUAGCCCAGCUUUCCUUAAUUAUACUACAAAAUCUAUAGGAACCUAUCGAUGAGCAGCUCCCAACUGGACAGGGAGUCUGACUCUGUAAAAAGCUGUCAACACACAGGAGGUCCUGUAAAAGUCAGUGUUUGAACGAUUAAUUAUACUCCCAACUUUUAUAUCUGAAAAUAAUCACUAGUAAUUACUUUUCUUCUUCCACAUCCCUGGUAUCAAUUAGCGAAUACCAGCUGCCUAUUUGGCCUCUGUCCCCCUCCAGCCCACACACAAUUACCAACACCCAGCUCUUUACCUACUUGUCUGCCUCUGGGCUCCAAGCUGAUAGAGCCACCCUCUUAUGAUAGAGCCACCCUCUUGUGAUGGAGCCACCCUCUUGUGAUGGAGCCACCCUCUUGUGAUGGAGCCGCCCUCUUGUGAUAGAGCCACCCUCUUGUGAUAGAGCCACCCUCAUAUCUUACAGCUGGUUCAGCUGUCGCUAGAAAAAAAAAAAAACCACACACUGAUAGCUGAUAUACUGCAAUGGAAGCUUGGUAUCUGAUUGUAUUUGUGCUUGAGACUAAAAUGAUUCCUUUUUCUUGUUCCGAUAAUAUACCGGUUGGUUCUCGCUUAUCCCUAGUAUUCCCACCAUGGCGGAGCACAGCUGGGGUGUGAACAGGCGGUAUCGGAGUGAGCAACGUGCAAUCCUUCUAAGCCUCAAGCAACUUUUGAACCCAGUUCAUCCUGACAUUGCAGGCACUGGGGCGCAGCCUGUCUUUUUAAAAUCAAGACGCCCCGUCUGCUUCUUUGGUUAUAACUAGUAAGACUUCCAGGAAACUAUCCAGCCAAGAAGCGGUUUCUACACAAGCAGUACCUGCCCGUUUUCCUGCUUGGAAUUCUUGAGUGCCGUGGUGAGGCCAUUAAAAGCAUUUGAGCGUAGAAGAAACAAUCAGAUCUGCGUCUGAGGAAGACUACAUCGCCAGAUAUGAUAACGGCUGGGAAGACUCUUAAGGGGUAUUUUACAAGCCCUGCACAGGACUGAAGUGAAGCAACUUACCACAAGAGGGCAACAGAGAGCUACU